GCCUGUUUAUCAAAAACAUGGCUCUUUGUUAAUAUAAUAUAAGGAGUCGGACCUGCCCAGUGAUAAGAAUUUAACGGCCGCGGUACUCUGACCGUGCAAAGGUAGCAUAAUCAUUUGCCCUAUAAUUGAGGGCUGGAAUGAAUGGUUUGACAAGAGUAAUACUGUCUCUUUAAGAUUUCCCAAAAUUUAAUUUCUAGGUCAAGAAUCCUAGAUAAAAUUAAAAGACAAGAAGACCCUAUCGAGCUUUAAAAAAGAGCAUGAAAUAAAAUUAAUAUAUUAUUAUAUUUAAUGUCAUCUGAUAUUUUGGUUGGGGCGACUAAGGAACAUUUAAAGCUUCUUAUUUUAUUUUAAAACUGAUAAGUUUUGAUCCAGUUAAAUUUACUGAUUAAAAAAAUUAGUUACCGUAGGGAUAACAGCAUAAUCUCUCUUAAGAGCUCAUAUCGAAAGAGAGGUUUGUGACCUCGAUGUUGGACUAGAAUAUCCUAAAGAUGCAGAAGUCUUUGAGGGUUGGUCUGUUCGACCAUUAAAAUUCUACGUGAUCUGAGUUCAGAC
rnacentral:rRNA from 1 species